GGUUUGUAAACAAACCGCAUACAACCACAUGAUGUUUUGUGCUUUGCACAAAACUCGAAGAUAAACAGAGAGGCAGAAUUCCUGCCGAGCUGUUUAUCAUAU
rnacentral:sRNA from 1 species